GACACUUGGACGUUACUCACACAAUUAGCGCAGGCUAACUCUGUGCCAGCAGCCGCGGUAAUACAGAGGGUGCGAGCGUUAAUCGGAUUUACUGGGCGUAAAGCGUGCGUAGGCGGCUUUUUAAGUCGGAUGUGAAAUCCCCGAGCUUAACUUGGGAAUUGCAUUCGAUACUGGGAAGCUAGAGUAUGGGAGAGGAUGGUAGAAUUCCAGGUGUAGCGGUGAAAUGCGUAGAGAUCUGGAGGAAUACCGAUGGCGAAGGCAGCCAUCUGGCCUAAUACUGACGCUGAGGUACGAAAGCAUGGGGAGCAAACAGGAUUAGAUACCCUGGUAGUCCAUGCCGUAAACGAUGUCUACUAGCCGUUGGGGCCUUUGAGGCUUUAGUGGCGCAGCUAACGCGAUAAGUAGACCGCCUGGGGAGUACGGUCGCAAGACUAAAACUCAAAUGAAUUGACGGGGGCCCGCACAAGCGGUGGAGCAUGUGGUUUAAUUCGAUGCAACGCGAAGAAGCUUACCUGGCCUUGACAUACUAGAAACUUUUCCAGAGAUGGAUUGGUGCCUUCGGGGAUCUAGAUACGGGUG
rnacentral:rRNA from 1 species